rfam:Anopheles merus strain MAF unplaced genomic scaffold supercont2.246, whole genome shotgun sequence.
GUGUCAUUUGAAAGUAGAGCAGGUUAUCUCUCCCCCUUGACAAGGAUGGAACACAUACCCUGAGAUUAGU